rnacentral:lncRNA from 1 species
CACAGGGGAAGCCACUGGGCAGCCGUGCUCAGCAGAGGGCCCUGCACACAGAGGGUCCUCCACAUCCCUAUGACACGAGGGAAAAGCUGGUUAUCUGAUGUUCCUCUGACUCCGAUCACUGACCGAGCCCCAUGCACCUCAGAAGGUUUCUCUCCCACUGUGUCUGUGCUUCGUAGAGAGUUAACACACAACAAACACCUGCUAAUCUGAAUUCAGUGCCCACGAGUUUUCCGGGUCUGUGGCUACUGGCGCCGUCUUCCCAAAAGUCUGUUUAAUACCAUUGAACAGGCAGCCCUCCUAGAAGUUUUUCCCUACACCUGAGCUGGCCACAAGUUCUCCAUCCUCUUGGUGGCUUUGAAAAUCCCUUCAGGAUUCUGAGUGAAUACUUCAAGAGUGUGUUAUAAAUUCAGACACGUCUACGGGGCUUUAAAGUGCCGCAGCGGGAACCUCUUACUGAGGCAACCUGGGGGUAAAAGGCUUUUCACCUUCCCAGAGUGGCUCCACCCACAGCAUUUUCCUAGCCUGAAGUUAAAGAGGAAGAGGAGGAGGAGGAAGAGAAACUACCUGGCUGAGCCUCUUACCACCCCUUCGUCUCUCACGAGGCAGCUGUUUGAUUGCUACACUGUCACAUGUGUUGCAUACAAGCAAGAGAUACAAAACCCAAACUGUGAUUUUCCUGAAAGCCAGAAGCUGCCUGCCUGUCCCUGGGGUGAUCUGAAAUCCAGGCACAUCUCGCGAGGCCAGCAGCUCCCAGAGUGCGGCUCACGGACCUGCGGCCCCAACAUCGCCUGGGCUCUUGUGACAGGUGCACAUUUCCGGGUCCCUCCCAGACCUCCUGACUGGGGCACUCCAAGCUGGGGCUGGCAUCCUGUGUUCUAGCCAGCACCCCCGGGAUGUUCGGAUGCUCAAGCUUGGGAACCACUCUCUCAAAGCAAGCCCGAGGCGCUCCCACGGCAUCCCAGCAGCUCCUGCAUCUCAUGCUCUGCAGGGAGGAGGGGUGCAGAGAGCAGGGAACACACUUGGAAGCAAAAGAAUCUGAAUGGUGUAUGAGAACCCCCAGCAUCUUCCUCCCUGCACUGGGCCCAGGGCCCAGCUUACCUGCGUCAAGCUGUGCUGUGAUUCCCCUGGCAUCUGCUCGAGUUCCAGGUCUCUCCUGAAAACGAACACGCCUUUCUCCUUCCAGGCCUUUCUGCAUCUGAGGUUUACCCAGCACAGGCCUAGGUGCCUCAGGUCUGAAAUUACAUAAGGGGUGACAGAAGCGUUUCAAUGUUGGGACUGUGCUCUCUGUCGAUGUAUAUUAAAUAUAUAUAUAUAUAUGUUUAUUUAGACUUGCAUCUGAUUAGGUGGUGCAAACAUGAGUAGCUCAAAUAUGGUAGGGGCCUCCAUGGAAGAGUCAUUUUCUGUUGAAAGAGGAUAUUUAAACAAGCAAAGAAUGCCUUCUAAGAGACUUGAGAUACGAACAACCCAACCUCAAGGUUAUCUUGCGUGACUCUCCCUCCGCCUCUUGUAAUGAGAUCAAUGGGUUCUGUUUCAAGCUCUGGACAGCCCUGAGCCCUCUGCGGCUGGGAUCUCCUGCCAGGGGCGGCUGGGGAAGACCCCUCGCAGGUGCUCUUUCACAUCAGAAAUCACACAGAUCACCUCAGGCCCAAUUGCCUUCAGAUAUGUUAGUCUUCACCACAGAUACACACACAGACUCUCACAUUCACAUACACAAACAUGCUCACACACACUUUUACACACAUCCGCACUCACAUACACGAACCCACGCACCGUUCACAAAAACACAUGCCCACACACUCUCACACUCACGCACCCACACACACAUACAUACAUAGACACAGGCACACAUAUUUAUACUCACAUACAUAAAAACAUGCACACAUUCAUAUACACACACACCUGCAUACACACUCAUAUACACACACACACACACCCACUUCCCACUCUCUCACACUCACAUACACAGAUGCACACACAUUCAUACUGGUAUACAAAACACACACACACUCUCAUACACACAAACACAGGCAAACACAUUCAUACUCAUAUACACACACAUUCAUAUAUGCAAAUACUUACCCAUACACACCCUCACUCUCACACACACAGAGGCCCAUACACACAUCCACAAACAGGCACACAUGUUCAUAUCACACAGCGGACGCAGGUGCACACAUUCGUAUCACAUACAAACACACACACUCACACAGCUGCAUUAGUUGUCAACGUUUAAACACUAGGAGGCAGAGCCCUGCAGGGAGAGGCGAGCAGGAAUCCCAGGCGCCAUGCGUGAGGAAGGGCGCAGUGGGAUCUGCAGACUGGGGCGACCCUCACUCCCGGUUCCUCCCCACAUUCUGCAUCCCAGGGGCCCUCCAUCUCCCCCACUCUCACCCAGUGUCUGGAUGUCAAGUUAGAGAACUCGGAAGCUGCAGCCACACCUGGCUGGCCCUCCCACACGACCACGGGCUCUUCCUACUCCCCCAAUAAAGAAACUAUAGAUCUUUGUUAUUUGGUCAUCUUAAAAAGUUACCUAUUAAAU